AGCAUAUCAAUAAGCGGAGGAAAAGAAACCAACAGGGAUUGCCUCAGUAACGGCGAGUGAAGCGGCAACAGCUCAAAUUUGAAAUCUGGCUCCCGGGCCCGAGUUGUAAUUUGCAGAGGAUGCUUUUGGCGCGGUGCCUUCCGAGUUCCCUGGAACGGGACGCCAUAGAGGGUGAGAGCCCCGUCUGGUUGGACACCAAGCCUAUGUAAAGCUCCUUCGACGAGUCGAGUAGUUUGGGAAUGCUGCUCUAAAUGGGAGGUACAUGUCUUCUAAAGCUAAAUACCGGCCAGAGACCGAUAGCGCACAAGUAGAGUGAUCGAAAGAUGAAAAGCACUUUGGAAAGAGAGUUAAACAGCACGUGAAAUUGUUAAAAGGGAAGCGUUUAUGACCAGACGUGGGCCGGUUAAUCAUCCAGCGUUCUCGCUGGUGCACUUUGCCGGUCCAGGCCAGCAUCAGUUCGCCGCGGGGGAUAAAGGCGUCGGGAAUGUGGCUCCUCGGAGUGUUAUAGCCCUUCGCGCAAUACCCUGUGGUGGACUGAGGUUCGCGCACUGCAAGGAUGCUGGCGUAAUGGUCAUCAACGACCCGUCUUGAAACACGGACCAAGGAGUCGUCUUCGUAUGCGAGUGUUCGGGUGUAAAACCCCUACGCGAAAUGAAAGUGAACGCAGGUGAGAGCUUCGGCGCAUCAUCGACCGAUCCUGAUGUUCUCGGAUGGAUUUGAGUAAGAGCAUACGGGGCCGGACCCGAAAGAAGGUGAACUAUGCCUGUAUAGGGUGAAGCCAGAGGAAACUCUGGUGGAGGCUCGCAGCGGUUCUGACGUGCAAAUCGAUCGUCAAAUAUGGGCAUGGGGGCGAAAGACUAAUCGAACCUUCUAGUAGCUGG
rnacentral:rRNA from 1 species